rnacentral:rRNA from 1 species
GACGAACGCUGGCGGCGUGCUUAACACAUGCAAGUCGAACGGAAAGGCCCUGCUUUUGUGGGGUGCUCGAGUGGCGAACGGGUGAGUAACACGUGAGUAACCUGCCCUUGACUUUGGGAUAACUUCAGGAAACUGGGGCUAAUCCCGGAUAGGAGCUCCUGCUGCAUGGUGGGGGUUGGAAAGUUUCGGCGGUUGGGGAUGGACUCGCGGCUUAUCAGCUUGUUGGUGGGGUAGUGGCUUACCAAGGCUUUGACGGGUAGCCGGCCUGAGAGGGUGACCGGCCACAUUGGGACUGAGAUACGGCCCAGACUCCUACGGGAGGCAGCAGUGGGGAAUAUUGCACAAUGGGCGGAAGCCUGAUGCAGCAACGCCGCGUGCGGGAUGACGGCCUUCGGGUUGUAAACCGCUUUCGCCUGUGACGGAGCGUGAGUGACGGUAAUGGGUAAAGAAGCACCGGCUAACUACGUG